rnacentral:rRNA from 1 species
CUACGGGAGGCAGCAGUGAGGAAUAUUGGACAAUGGGCGCAAGCCUGAUCCAGCCAUGCCGCGUGCAGGAUGAAGCAUCUAUGGUGUGUAAACUGCUUUUGUACGAGAAGAAACACUGCUUCGUGAAGCAGCUUGACGGUAUCGUAAGAAUAAGGAUCGGCUAACUCCGUGCCAGCAGCCGCGGUAAUACGGAGGAUCCAAGCGUUAUCCGGAAUCAUUGGGUUUAAAGGGUCCGUAGGCGGGCCAGUAAGUCAGUGGUGAAAUCUCCCGGCUCAACCGGGAAAUGGCCAUUGAUACUGCUGGUCUUGAAUUAUUAGGAAGUAACUAGAAUAUGUAGUGUAGCGGUGAAAUGCUUAGAGAUUACAUGGAAUACCAAUUGCGAAGGCAGGUUACUACUAAUGGAUUGACGCUGAUGGACGAAAGCGUGGGUAGCGAACAGGAUUAGAUACCCUGGU